CAAGAGCAUGGUUUUGUUUUUAUUAUUUUUUGCUAACACAGGAGUUUGUUCAUCAUUUGAGUUUCUCUGUCCAGUGAACUGGCUCGUGUUUAAUGGCUCACUAAGCUGUGCCUGCAGUGAUGACAGAGCAUGUGUUUUCUAACUCAGGGGGAUGGACAAGUGCCCUUCUUUGCAGGAAAGAGAGCAAAGCUGGUGCUGCACAGCGCUUGGGGUGAGGGCUGCUCAGGAUGGGGACAGUGUGGCAGGUGUCUGUCCUGUGCCCUGAGCAGCUCCUCUUGCUGCAGAGCUGGAUCCAAACCCUGCCAGUGUCACCGAGCUGUGCCACCUGAUGGGCAGGGCAGGAGAGCCCCACGAGCCCUGCAGUGUCCAGCACACAGCCCUGGCUGGGGUUGUGUGACUCUGGGACUCUGCAGCCUCCAGGAGCCAGACCCGCUGGGACUGUUCCCCUGCUCCUGUCUCAGUCCAGCUCCUAACGAGGCCAGUGGGACUUUCAGCUGAGACAGCCUCCAGGAUCUGGCUUGUUUAAUUUGUGACAAAUACCAUGCAGGUCUCCUGCCUGCCAGAUCCUCAGGGCUCCCUUUUUGGGAAGCAAAACCCACUUGUGUUUGUUGGGCUGUUUCUUUCCCAGAUGAGCGCAGGGAAUUAUUCCCAGGCAGUUCAAAUGUACCCCUGGCCAGGUGUUUGGGGCAGUUCAGUGUGUGUGUGCACGUGUUUGUGUGGGCAUAAAACAGAACUAAAGUCUGCUUCUCUGUGAAAGAUCCCUGAUCUUUUCUGUGAAGGAUUUUUGAUCUCUGGGUGUGAGUAAAGGCACUGGCAGCCCUCAGAUGCUGCUAAGGGGAGGGGUGUCCCAGAAAUGUCCCCAAACAGGGACAACCAGAACUGCCAGGACACCAAAAGUGUCAUUUAUAAAAACAUUUCUUAUUUUUUAGGGUCUAGAACACUGUUUAGGGUGUUCUAAAUAGAAGACUAUUCAGGGUUUAGAACACUGUUUAUGGAAUCUGUGCCCGAAGCACACCACAGAAUUGGUUCUCUAAGGCACUUCCUAAAUCACACUUUUCAAUCCAUUUGGCCCACUGACUUUAUACAAAACCACAUUUCAAUACAUUAGAAAUUACAGCGGUGCUGAUGAAAUCAUCCAGGUGAUGUUAAAUUGCUCCCAUCAGUGCACAGGCAGCCCCUGGCUUUGGGACAGCCCCAUCUCAGGUGUGAGCAGCUGAAAGCAGCAGAAGGAUGCAGGAGGCGCCUCCCGGGGCUGAUUCCCAGGGCCUGGAGGAGGCCCAGCUCCCGAGCUAGCAGGGGGCUCUGGCUUUCUGGCUCUGCCACAAUUUCCAACACCUGCAGCGAAAACCUGAGGCUGAAGUUCCCUUUUUUAGCGUUAGCAAGAUGCUUUCCUGCAGCUCUCAUGAGGUCACUGAAGAAUUUUGAGGCUCUUGUCUAAUGGGAGCUUCAGAGAAUUCAGAGGACUGAAUCCAAUCUCUGACCUGCGGUGGUUCCCACUGGAGCUCCAGGGCCAGGUUUGGUUUGUGCCCCUUGCCUUGAAUCUGGACGUGCUCUUCGCAAGGCUCUGCUCGUGUGGGACGUUCACUCUCGGUGCAGGGGAGGGAGGACAGGGCUGGAGCAAACCUUGGGCCGUGCAAUGCAGGAUUCGUGCUGCUUUGGGGAAGGGGACACACGAAAAUCCUCACUGCUGGCUCCUGUUCCCCUGGCAGGGACACAUCACCCUCAGCCCGGCCAGCAGCGCACCCUGACCAGCAUCAACACCAAAUGGUUUAAAAAAAAAAACAACCACAUGAACAUUAUUUUUAUUUCUCCAGCAAAAUCUGUUUCUUUCAGUCUUUCGUUUGCUUCUCUUCUGAAGACUCAAGUCUUUAUUUCAGACAUCUGCCUAUAGAAAAUAAGUAUUUUUUAAAGGGCACAUUAAAAGAUGAAAACUGAAGCUUGAAUAACUUAAUCAGCAUACAAAUUACACAGAUAUAAAAGUUCUGUUUCAUUGUCUUAACUUACAGUUUAUUUUGUACAGAAUUCGUUAUGUUAUACAUCUAAGACUUAUUAUAUUGUAUAAAUAUCUGGGGUGUGAUGUAUAUACAUAUCCAGUGUUAUAAUUCAGCAGUUAAUGUAUGCAUUUCACAAUACACUCUCGUGUAUUUCAAUGUAGUGCACAUGAUUGAUAUUCCAUAGAAGAGCGCAUCCACCAGGAAAAACCUGCUUUUCCUUCCUGGGGUUUUCACCCCACCUCGCACCACAAGGGCUCCUCAUUCUGCAGUGGACUCCUGGCACUGUCUAUGGCUCUCAGGGCUUUUGUACAUUCCCCAGGAUGAGUGAAGGACCAGCAGCUCCAGACAUGAACGGGGCGUGGGAGGAGAGCAGGGCAGGGUCCCCAAGGGUGGGGAAGGGGCACAGGGAGCCCCAAGAGCAGGACAGGAUCCCUAUGGGGUCCCUAAGGGGUGGAGAAGGGAGACAGGGAGCCCCAAGAGCAGGACAGGGUCCCUAAGGGGUCCCUAAAGAUCGGGAAGGGGCACAGGGAGCCCCAAGAGCAGGACAGGGCUCUGAUGGGGUCCCCAAGGGUGGGGAAGGGGCACAGGGAGCCCCAAGAGCAGGACAGGGUCCCUAAGGGGUCCCUAAAGGUGGGGAAGGGGCACAGGGGGCCCUGGCUGGGCACUGUGGGGUGAAUGAAACAAAAGGUUGUGCCCACGGGAACUUGCAGCUCUCCCUUCCCUGUCCUGUGCUCCCCUGUCCCAGGUGCCACCCCUGUCCCAGGUGCCCUGGCAGGGCUGGGGCUGCCAUAGCUCUGUGUCAAGGUCUGCAGCCCCGUUGCCAUUAACCCCUCUCUGCCCGGGGGGCUGCUCUGGGCUCUCCUGGGGGAUGCUCUCGGCACACCCCGAGAGCAGCAAAGCCCCCAGAGCCUCUCUGCACUCGCAGCAGGAAGAGACGGUGCUGGUUUGGUAUAAAUUACAGGUAUUGCUUCCCUAGGCACCUACUAAUUAAUAAUUCUAAUGAGUCUGAGGGCACAGCUCCUAUUUUCAGACAUUCUACUUUCUGCAUACAUACUUACAUACAUACACGUGUGCCUUUUGAUCACUCGGCUACCAUUGCUUUGUUCUCUCUAAAGCAGAGACUCUUUCAUCCAUGUGUAAAUGCUGCUCAGUUAACAGCAAAGUGGAAUAUUAUCUAUUCCAUGAAUAAAAUAUUGUAUUUAACAGCAACACUGAAAAAUGUUUAGGCGAACGGGAAAAGUGGGGGGAGGAGGUGUUUAAAAUAAUUAUAAAUUGAAUUUACUUAAAUUUCUAGAGUAUGCCAUAAUUUUGAAAUUAAAAUUUGAGAUAGUUAAUUGAAAAGGAACCGAUCAACUCAGAACUGUUUUGUAUCAGAUAUAUUCAUGUUGAAUAUAUUUUCCUUUCUUCUUACGAGAAGUAGCAUAAAGGCUCAAACCAGGAUAAAUCAGAAUAACUCCACUUUAUUGGUGUUAUCCCAGUUUUACUGAAAAUAGAGAGUUCUCUCUUCCCACUUAUUCCCUUUUCUUUUUGUAUUGCUUUUUUGCCAUGGUUGUAUUGCCAUUUUCCAUGUAAGAGCUUCCAUGUGAUGACAUGUGAUGGAAAAGAAAAAGAAAAUUUAUGAACCUGCAGAUCUUUCUUUUUUCCCCCAUUGCAAGAUUUGAGAAAUGAGUCUUUUUGUGGACAGCUGUCCCCAGUUCCAGUGUUUAACUGAUCCCAGUUCCAGUCUUUAACUGAUCCCAGUUCCAUUCUUUAACUGGUUCCCAGUUCCAGUGUUUAACUGAUCCCAGUUCCACUGUUUGACUGAUCCCAGUCCCACUGUUUGACUGAUCCCAGUUCCACUGUUUGACUGAUCCCAGUUCCACUGUUUGACUGGUUCCCAGCAGCAGCUGUGCUCCUUCCUGAUGGGCAGGAAUUGUCAUUUAACUCGGGCAGAGGGUGACACCUCUGUGGCUCUAAAACCAGCCCAAAUUCAGCCCCUGAGCCACCCAAAACCCCGAAGCCUCACAGAAGUGGAAGGAAAGGUUUCCAUAAGGAGAUGGAACCUCAGUGGGAGUGGAAGGAAAGGUUCCCAUGAGGAAAUGGAGCCUCAGUAGGAAUGGAAGGAGAGGUUCCCAUGAGGAGAUGGAGCCCAAAGCAGGAAUGGAAGGAAAGGUUUCCAUGAGGAGAUGGAGCCCAAAGCAGGAGUGGAAGGAAAGGUUCCCAUGAGGAAACAUUUCUCUCUGAGGCCACGGCCUCGCUGGCUCCCUGAGGGGUUUGCACUCUGGAACAGUCGGGCUCUCUGCCCUCUGCACCUGCCAGCAGAGUUUGGCUCCUCUGAUUUCAAGACUGAAUCAAUUUGUGGUCAGGUUGGGUCAGUAUAUUGUGCAAACAAUAGUCAAUAGGGUUUUUUGUUCUGCUCUCUGCUUGGGCCAAAUACAAAAUAAUGCAUUGAGAAGUUAAAUUCUAAAAAGGGGAUUUUAUGUUGUUAGUGAUAAGGAUCAUGGUAGGAAUUCAUCUUUCCUUAUUUCCUGGAUCAUUAAAAGGGGAGAGAACAUUUGUUAAACAACCCAGGACUUCAUCUGACGCACAAGUGCUGCAUCCCUUAUGAAACAGAAGCAUAUCUGUGCUCUAUUAUUUUCUCUCCUCAAAAUUAGAUUAUAACAGAUGCCAUCUCCUCCCUGUGCAGCUCAGUGCCAGCAAAAGCAAGUCUCUAAUCACUUAUAUAAGCCUGGUGUCCUCACUUCUAGUCUCAAUGUUAAAAUUCCUGUAUUUUACGGCAGUUAUGUUAAAUAUGUUCCCAGCUGUGGAUUAGGACCCAAAUGCAGAAUUUCCCACAAUUUUCUGGUUUCUAUAUAAAUUCAAAUCUUGCUCUGAUCUACCUCAAAAAUGGGAGCUCCAGUAUGCAAGGCAGUUGUAAUUUGGCUCCUGUGGUUAUUGCACAGGAUCCAUCAGAAGAAUAUGUGCUUUGCUGGGGGGGUUGAGUAUUCUGUAGAUUCAGGUUUUUCCUAACUGUAAUUUUCAACUUAUCUCAGUCAUCCUUCAGUAAAAAAACAGACGUGGUGCAUAUGAAAUGGCAGCUUUGAACUUCCAGCAUGUUCUCCUUGACAACAUUGGACAGUCCCUUGUGUGGCUGCAGUCCCAAAGUGUAUUCUCUUCCCUUUUUAAUGAAACGUGGUGUAGAGUUUUCUGUGUAAUGGCUUCAUGGCCAGGGGGGUUUGGACAAGGCCGUUGAGCAUGAGCUUCUCUGGCCUGCUGAACUCUGCCACCAAUGGAUUCAUUAGCACAGAGUAACAGUGACUCCAAGCUCUGCUUAUUUCCUAGGAAAUUCUCCUUCCCACUUGAUGCCUUCCAAUACCACCUCUGACUUUCCCACUCAGAUAAUAACAUCUGCUGUCAGCCAAGCCACUGCUCCAGCAAAGCAUUUCCCUUUCAAAUAUGUGCUGGGGUUUUUUUACAGGUUAUUUUUUUCAUAUUAACAAUGACAAAAGUGAACCCAGGGCUACUCCUUGAUUUUUAUUUUCCAGGGUUUAUUAUUAUAUUUACAGUUCCCUGUAAGAAGACACAACCCUUUCCCAGGAAGAGUUCUAAUUCCUUUCUAUGUUUCAAAAACUAACGACCCAUAUGGAAAGGAGGAAGAUAAUCAGUGGUGAAGGAGGUAUCUCUGGGGCUGAAGCAGAUGAAUAAAAAACUCAAAUCAUUAUAAAUAUUACUGUACUACACUUUGGUACAACCAAAAAAAAAAAAAAA